rnacentral:rRNA from 1 species
GGCGAACGGGUGAGUAAUAUAUCGGAACGUGUCCAAUAAUGGGGGAUAACGUCUCGAAAGAGACGCUAAUCCCGCAUACGCUCCGCAAGGAGGAAAGGCGCAAGUCGCUGGGAGAGGAGCCUGCGGCCCAUCAGGUAGUUGGAGAGGUAACGGCUCACCAAGCCUAUGACGGGUAGCUGGUCUGUGAGGACAACCAGCCAGACUGGGACUGAGAACGGCCCAGACUCCUACGGGAGGCAGCAGUAAGGAAUUUUCGUCAAUGGGGGAAACCCUGAACGAGCAACGCCGCGUGGAGGAUGACGGUCUUCGGAUUGUAAACUCCUUUUGUGAGGGACGAUAAUGACGGUACCUCGCGAAUAAGCCCCGGCUAACUCUGUGCCAGCAGCCGCGGUAAUACAGAGGGGGCAAGCGUUGUCCGGAGUUACUGGGCGUAAAGCGCACGUAGGCGGUCCGAUAAGUGGUGUGUGAAACCAAUCAGCUUAACUGAUUGACGCCAUGCCAAACUGUCGGACUAGAGUCAUGGAGAGGUAGUUCGAAUUGCCGGUGUAGUGGUGAAAUGCGUAGAUAUCGGCAGGAAGACCAAGGGAGAAAUCAGACUACUGGCCAUUGACUGACGCUCAGGUGCGAAAGCGUGGGGAGCGAACUGGAUUAGAUACCCAGGUAGUCCACGCCGU